rnacentral:rRNA from 1 species
UACGUAGGGUGCAAGCGUUGUCCGGAAUUAUUGGGCGUAAAGGGCUCGUAGGCGGUCCGUCACGUCGGGAGUGAAAACUUGGGGCUUAACCCCAAGCCUGCUUCCGAUACGGGCGGACUAGAGGUAGGCAGGGGAGAACGGAAUUCCUGGUGUAGCGGUGAAAUGCGCAGAUAUCAGGAAGAACACCCGUGGCGAAGGCGGCUUUCUGGGACGGUACUGACGCUGAGACGCGAAAGCGUGGGGAGCGAACAGG